rnacentral:rRNA from 1 species
ACGUACGCUGGCGGCACGCCUUAUACAUGCAAGUCGAACGAAGUAGCAAUACUUAGUGGCAGACGGGUGAGGAACAUGUAGGUAUCUACCCUUUGGCCUGGAAUAACACGAGGAAACUUGUGCUAAUACCGGAUAAGUCUUUACGGAGAAAGCUUUAUGCACCAUUGGAUGAGCCUGCACUUGAUUAGUUUGUUGGUGGGGUAAUGGCCUACCAAGACAAUGAUCAAUAGCUGAUUUGAGAGGAUGAUCAGCCACAUUGGGACUGAGACACGGCCCAAACUCCUACGGGAGGCAGCAGUAGGGAAUCUUGCACAAUGGAGGAAACUCUGAUGCAGCGAUGCCGCGUGAGUGAAGAAGGCCUUUGGGUUGUAAAGCUCUUUCGUCGGGGAAGAAAAUGACUGUACCCGAAUAAGAAGGUCCGGCUAACUUCGUGCCAGCAGCCGCGGUAAUACGAAGGGACCUAGCGUAGUUCGGAAUUACUGGGCUUAAAGAGUUCGUAGGUGGUUAAAAAAGUUGGUGGUGAAAUCCCAGAGCUUAACUCUGGAACUGCCAUCAAAACUUUUUAGCUAGAGUAUGAUAGAGGAAAGCAGAAUUUCUAGUGUAGAGGUGAAAUUCGUAGAUAUUAGAAAGAAUACCGAUUGCGAAGGCAGCUUUCUGGAUCAUUACUGACACUGAGGAACGAAAGCAUGGGUAGCGAAGAGGAUUAGAUACCCUCGUAGUCCAUGCCGUAAACGAUGUGUGUUAGACGUUGGAAAUUUAUUUUCAGUGUCGCAGCGAAAGCGAUAAACACACCGCCUGGGGAGUACGACCGCAAGGUUAAAACUCAAAUGAAUUGACGGGGACCCGCACAAGUAGUGGAGCAUGUGGUUUAAUUCGAAGAUACGCGCAGAACCUUACCAACACUUGACAUGUUCGUCGCGACUCUAAGAGAUUAGAGUUUUCGGUUCGGCCGGACGAAACACAGGUGCUGCAUGGCUGUCGUCAGCUCGUGUCGUGAGAUGUUGGGUUAAGUCCCGCAACGAGCGCAACCCUUACUUUUAGUUGCCAUCAUUUAGUUGGGCACUCUGAAAGAACUGCCAGUGAUAAGCUGGAGGAAGGUGGGGAUGACGUCAAGUCCUCAUGGCCCUUAUGUGUUGGGCUACACACGUGCUACAAUGGUAUCUACAACAGGAAGCAAGAUGGCAACAUUAAGCAAAUCCCAAAAAGAUACCUCAGUUCGGAUUGCACUCUGCAACUCGAGUGCAUGAAGCUGGAAUUACUAGUAAUCGUGGAUCAGCGUGCCACGGUGAAUACGUUCCCGGGUCUUGUACACACCGC